GUUUCCCUCCUGGACCGGUUAUUCCCAAGACCCAAUUUUAGAUGAGUGGACAGUACUGGAUGGACGAUUGGACUUUAAAACUACUUCUAAAUUUGGUUCGGAAAAUGGUGCUUGAGACAUUGGAGAGCCCAGUGGCAGAUUCCAAUCUGCGGGCUGAAAUUGGAAAUGAACAGCGGUGCCGUCUCCAUUCUGACAGCCUUGUGUCAAUAAAAGUCAGUUUCCCUCCACUGCUUCCUAUUGCUUGACCACAAAGGGACUUCUGUCGGCGUACAGUAAGAGAGGAGGUCGACUAACGUUGUGCCUGCAUGCAGAAAAUGACGACUGCGUUUGGUGAUUAAUCUGAACGCACUGGCUGACAGUAAAUGACACAAAGGAGAAAACAAAGCCUUUAAAAUCUCCAGCUGUGCCUAGUUAGAGUGGCAUGGGCGGAGUUUUCCAAUCUACGCACCUGUCAUGGAUUCUGCUGAUGAGAGCAGCUGGCAUUUAAGCUCCUGGAAGUGAUCCAUUCCUCGCCGGAUUAUUCAGUGACACUGGACACUUAUUGGAGUGUGGAACUCGCCUUUUGCUGGAGCUUAAGGACUCGUGUAUUUGGAUUCCUCUCCUGGAAACUCUCACCUGGAAACCAACCAUCCUCUGUCCUGCCACUCUCUCUCUCUCUCUCUCUCUC